CGCCACAGCCAUAUCACCCUGCAGCCCAAGACUGGUUGCCCACUGAAGCUAAGCAGGGCUGAGCCUGGUAAGUACCUGGAUGGGAGACCUCCUGGGAAAACUAGGUUGCUGUUGGAA
rnacentral:rRNA from 1 species